UGCUUAGAUGGGUGAACGAGCUCACAG
rnacentral:sRNA from 1 species